AGGACGAACGCUGGCGGCGUGCUUAACACAUGCAAGUCGAACGGAAAGGCCCGCUUGCGGGUACUCGAGUGGCGAACGGGUGAGUAACACGUGGGCAACCUGCCCUCAGCUUCGGGAUAACACUUGGAAACAGGUGCUAAUACCGGAUAAUAACCUUUCAUCGCAUGGUGUGGGGUUCAAAGUUUUUCGGCUGGGGAUGGGCCCGCGGCCUAUCAGCUUGUUGGUGGGGUAAUGGCCUACCAAGGCGACGACGGGUAGCCGGCCUGAGAGGGCGACCGGCCACACUGGGACUGAGACACGGCCCAGACUCCUACGGGAGGCAGCAGUGGGGAAUAUUGCGCAAUGGGCGGAAGCCUGACGCAGCGACGCCGCGUGAGGGAUGACGGCCUUCGGGUUGUAAAGCACUUUUAUCGGGAACGAAAUACCAUGGGUUAAUACCCGAUGGGGCUGACGGUACCCGAGGAAUAAGCACCGGCUAACUUCGCGCCAGCAGCCGCGGUAA
rnacentral:rRNA from 1 species